rnacentral:tRNA from 1 species
GGUGUUGUAUCCCAGUGGUUAAGGAGUUGGUCUAGAAAGCCGAUGAGCUUGUUCUCGCGCAGGUUCGAAUCCUGCCAACAUCG